GCCAGGAUAGUUCAAUCGGUAGAACAUUAAUUUCAUGCAUUAAUAGUGGGAAUUCAAAUUUCUCUCCUGGCUC
rnacentral:tRNA from 2 species